AAAGUCGUAACAAGGUUUCCGUAGGUGAACCUGCGGAAGGAUCAUUAAAAAAAUCUAAAAUGUGGUGAUGAGGGCUGUUCUUUCCCGACUUUGGGAGAGGCAGCCGAGCCACGGCGCGGGAAUCUGACACUUUUCCUUCCUUGUGGAGUGAAAAGGCGUCGUUUCUCGCUUGACCAACCUCAAAUUCUCCAUAACGUCUGAAACAUCAACGUCUCCUACAACGGAGUCGAUCAAUGUGAAUUUAAAACAACUUUUAACAAUGGAUCUCUUGGCUCUC
rnacentral:misc_RNA from 1 species